rnacentral:lncRNA from 1 species
AACAUGGUAUAGCAUCAUAGGAACAAGCCUGGCUAUGCAUGGCCGCAAGAAGACCAGAAGUUUAUGCUUCCAUUUUUAAUCUAAUCUGAUCUUACUGUUAUGUCUGAAUCUGGACAAGCUGUGGUCAGCCUUAACUGGUUUAUUGAAGCAAGUCAACUUCAAAGUGUAGUGGAGCUGGCUUAAUAAACUGUAGUUAAGUGUAAUCAAAGUUAACAGUGAUCAGUUGGGCACUUUAACAAUACAGAAAGCUAACUGGUUUAAAUUUGCCAUGGCUGCAAUGUUUAUAUGGCUAGCAAAAAAAUAUGAAUCAACUUUGCAAUUCCAUAGUAAAUAGAAACUAGUAAGAAUUCAGUUUUGAACAAGAUAACAGGAGGCAAUCAACUACAGGGCACUUCUAGACAAUUGUCUUCUGGUGCUACUGAAUCGUUCUUUCAGUGCUCAGAAUUGCAGUUGACUUUCUACCCUAGUGCUGUGUGAACAUGGUAUGUUUUUUCCACACCAGUGGGCAAGACAGCUCUGUGGAUGGAGCCAUUUGAAACUUGGAGUUUUAGAAAGAAACAAGAUCAUAGAAUCAUAGACUCAUAGAAUUGUAGGGCUGGCAGGGGCCUCAAGGAUCAUCUACUACAGGGGUGGCCAACUCCCAAGAGACUAUGACUACGAUCUACUCACAGAAUUAAAGGUCAAAGUUGCUGAGCUUUUUUGGGGGGGGGGCGUAUGCAGGAAUAUGCAGGUGGGAUUGAACCCAUGACCUUGGCAUGCUCUAACCAGCUGAGCUAGAAGGAGGAAAAUAUUCGUCAAUUUACUCAGGACCGGGCCUGAUUUUAUUCAGCUUUAUUAAGACUGCAUUCAGAUCUAGGGCUUAUUGCAUUUGUUUUAUUGGUUGUAAUGCUAGUGCUUCAGUCCUGAUUAUGAACAUUCCUUUUAUACGGCAGUACCUGUUGCAAUAAAAAACCCUGUGGCUUUUUGAUAGAUACACUAGCAUGUCAUGUUAAUUUUUUAACAGCUGGGAUACGGGCCAAAUUUCAUCAAGUGUGUGGCAGUGGUGUGAUCAUGAAAACCACAGGAAAAUUACAACACCAAACUUCUGUGACUUUCCAAGAUAAUGUAGCUGCAAAUGGUUUUUUCCUCCCUGGAAAAAAAAUAACAUGGAAAUGAGUGCUAAAUGUUUGCUAGAUUCCACUAAAUUUCCAGAAGUGACUUUUACAUUGUGCGAAAGAUCACAUAAACCUGAAAACCAGAAUAAAGUGCUGUCUUGUACAGAAUCUUGUUUUUCUGGGCCAAAGUGCUUCCCUUCCACCAAAACAAAAUGUGGUCAGUGUACUUAGUGAUUCUUCAUACAUGUUUUUAUACAUGCAGGUCCCGUUUUAUGAACACAAUUUCUUCCCUGGAAACUUUUCGUUUGGCAAGCUCUUACAUAAUGAAUUAAUUUUGUUUGCAUGACAAGUUGACAAUUUCUAUUGAUUCCUAUGGGGGAAUCUCUAAUGCGUUCUCAACAAUGGACUUCAUGGUGUGUAUAGUGAGGUUUGGGUACUAAUUCCUUGUGUUCAGAUAAACGAAUAUUCACAUAGCAAGCAUUCAUAAAGCAUGACUAGCGUAUAUAUGCCCCUUAUAUUUUUAGGUUUUCAUUUAAAAGAAAGAACUUGAUUGUGAACAACAGUUAUACAUGUAUAAUUGACUGGCUGUGAAUCUGUUAGGAGUGGUGGUUCUCUAUUGAAUAGCUUCAGUGUAUUCUGCAUUUAGAAGGAAUACUGAGUUUCACUCUGUUUGACUUGCCCACUUUAUCCUCCUCUGGUUCUUUUGGUCCUGUUUUAAAUCCCUAUGUGGGUCAAGCUAGAAGUUGCACUUAAUGCCUGGAUGCCUACAUGCUUGCACAGUUGAGUGCAUAUAAGUGUUCAGGCCCUGCUAAUAUCUCCCUGUGUUGCUUCCGUUUUUACUCUUUUCGGUUACCUCACUUUAAAGGCUGAAGGUGUUCCCUUUUCCUCUUCCACUGUAUUAAGUUGACCUUCCUUCUGCAAUUAGAGACAUUAGAGCUUGCGCUCACUGGCGAGAGCCAACUUUGGCAUGGUUCAGCCUGAAAAAGGAAAAAAUCCUCGCAAUUCUAAGGCUACUUGCCCUGUUCUGUUCUCUGAUGAUCUGAGCAGUGUGUGUUCAUUCCUCCUCAUUCUCCCUGGAUAGCUCUCACCUUUCCAGUCAGUCAGGGUAAUUUGCCCUGGCACCAUUUUGGCACAGGCUGGACCUCAGCAUCGCUAACAGCCAGGGUCAGCUGUCAGCCUCGGAGCCAUAAGCCUAAUUCAAUAUUACACAUGUAGGUAUUUUUUCCAAGUUCUCUCUGGGCUGCAGGCUUAAAGUCUCUGUUCUCAGCUGGGGUCCUUGAUGCAGUCACUUCCCUUGCCGUUACACAACACCCCAUUAGGAGGAAUGGCACAAACAGGCUUGAAGGGGGCCCCUCCUCCUGCCCAGCAAAGCCACAGCCCCGAGGUUCACAGAAUGGAAUGGAUUUUCAGUUAGGAAGAAAGCUGCUUUCUUAAACAUUUCUGUUCCUUCUCCCAUCUCAGUUUUGUCAUCGUUUAUCAGAAACACGCUGCGGCUCCUCGCCCUUGGGAAGCAACCUGGCUCUUCCUUACCUGCCUAGUCUGUACCAAUGCCUAACAGUGACGUAGGGCCUGCAGGAAACCUGCCAUGAAAUUGGGGGUUUGUGUUGGAAGGUUAAACAAAAACAAAAUCAGCAUUCUGCUUGAAUAUUUGGGUCUUAAAAUACAAUUGCAAUUUAUUACCAGGGUCCAUUGUGCUUUAUUGGCCAUGGCCAUGUAAAUGUACAGUUUCAUGAGC